rnacentral:rRNA from 1 species
UACGUAGGGUGCAAGCGUUAAUCGGAAUGACUGGGCGUAAAGGGUGCGCAGGCGGCGUAUUAAGUCAGUUGUGAAAUACCUGGGCUCAACCUAGGAGGUGCAAUUGAGACUGGUUCGCUAGAGUGUGUCAGAGGGGGGUAGAAUUCCACGUGUAGCAGUGAAAUGCGUAGAGAUGUGGAGGAAUACCGAUGGCGAAGGCAGCCCCCUGGGAUAACACUGACGCUCAGGCACGAAAGCGUGGGGAGCAAACAGG